rnacentral:misc_RNA from 1 species
AACGCAUAUUGCGCCUUCCGAUGAGGAAGGCAUACCUGUUUGAGUGUUGUUUAAAACCUCAUGGAGCAAAUGCUUCGUGGUGUUGGAUGUUGCUUGUUAAGCAUCCUCUUAAACCGUUACGACUUCGUCUUGGCGAGCGUUAACAAUGAGUUUCUUGGAACCUAGCUGUUAGCUGUAAACCAAAAGAUUCGUGGUCGGUAAACUUAGUUAACAAUACUUCAACCUCAGAUCAGGUAAGAAGACCCGCUGAACUUAA